rnacentral:rRNA from 1 species
AACGAACGCUGGCGGCGUGCCUAACACAUGCAAGUCGAGGGAGAAAGUGACCUUCGGUCGCGAGUAAACCGGACGCACGGGUGAGUAACACGUAGGUAACGUACCUUCGAACCUGGGAUAACCAGUCGAAAGAUUGGCUAAUACCGGAUACGACCGAGGGGGCGUUCGGCUCUCACGGUGAAAGGCGGCCGAUGCUUGCAAGCUGUCAUUCGAAGAGCGGCCUGCGCACCAUAGCUAGUUGGUGAGGUAACGGCUCACCAAGGCUGAGAUGGUUAGCUGGUCUGAGAGGAUGGCCAGCCACACUGGGACUGAGACACGGCCCAGACUCCUACGGGAGGCAGCAGUGGGGAAUAUUGCGCAAUGGGCGAAAGCCUGACGCAGCGACGCCGCGUGGGUGAUGAAGGCCUUCGGGUCGU